AGCGCACACGGUGGAUGCCUUGGCGGUCAGAGGCGAUGAAGGACGUGGCAGCCUGCGAAAAGUAUCGGGGAGCUGGCAACAAGCUUUGAUCCGGUAAUGUCCGAAUGGGGAAACCCACCCGCUUGCGGGUAUCCUGCAGUGAAUACAUAGCUGCUGGAAGCGAACCUGGUGAACUGAAAUAUCUAAGUAACCAGAGGAAAAGAAAUCAACCGAGAUUCCGUAAGUAGCGACGAGCGAACGCGGACUAGCCCUUAAGCUGAUUUGGUUCUAGGAAAACGCUCUGGAAAGAGUGGCCAUAGAAGGUGAUAGCCCUGUAUCUGAAAGGGCCAUUUCAGUGAAGACGAGUAGGGCGGGGCACGUGAAACCCUGUCUGAACAUGGGGGGACCAUCCUCCAAGGCUAAAUACUACUGACCGACCGAUAGUGAACCAGUACCGUGAGGGAAAGGCGAAAAGAACCCCGGAGAGGGGAGUGAAAUAGAACCUGAAACCGUGUGCGUACAAGCAGUAGGAGCUCCGCAAGGAGUGACUGCGUACCUUUUGUAUAAUGGGUCAGCGACUUACUGUUCGUGGCAAGCUUAACCGUAUAGGGGAGGCGAAGGGAAACCGAGUCUGAUAAGGGCGCAUAGUCGCGGGCAGUAGACCCGAAACCGGGUGAUCUAGUCAUGCCCAGGGUGAAGGUGCGGUAACACGCACUGGAGGCCCGAACCCACUCCCGUUGCAAAGGUAGGGGAUGAGGUGUGAUUAGGAGUGAAAAGCUAAUCGAACCCGGAGAUAGCUGGUUCUCCUCGAAAGCUAUUUAGGUAGCGCCUCAUAUGUAUCCUCUCGGGGGUAGAGCACUGUUAUGGCUAGGGGGUCAUCGCGACUUACCAAACCAUUGCAAACUCCGAAUACCGAGACGGACUGUAUGGGAGACACACGGCGGGUGCUAACGUCCGUCGUGAAAAGGGAAACAACCCAGACCCACAGCUAAGGUCCCAAAUUUUGUGCUAAGUGGAAAACCAUGUGGAAAGGCACAGACAGCCAGGAGGUUGGCUUAGAAGCAGCCACCCUUUAAAGAAAGCGUAAUAGCUCACUGGUCGAGUCGGUCUGCGGGGAAGAUUUAACGGGGCUAAGCACAGAACCGAAGCUUGGGGUGCAUACUUUGUAUGCGCGGUAGAGGAGCGUUCCGUAAGCCGUUGAAGGUGGAUUGAGAAGUCUGCUGGAGGUAUCGGAAGUGCGAAUGCUGACAUGAGUAACGAUAAUGCGGGUGAAAAACCCGCACGCCGAAAGCCCAAGGUUUCCUUGCGCAACGUUAAUCGGCGCAGGGUGAGUCGGCCCCUAAGGCGAGGACGAAAGUCGUAGUCGAUGGGAAGCAGGUUAAUAUUCCUGCACCUCGCGUAAGUGCGAUGGAGGGACGGAGAAGGUUAGGUGUACCAGGCGUUGGUUGUCCUGGGGAAAGGCGGUAGGUUUGGAUCUUUGGCAAAUCCGGGAUCCUCUAAGACCGAGCACCGAGACGAGCCUUUAUGGCGAAGUCACUGAUACCACGCUUCCAGGAAAAGCUCCUAAGCUUCAGCUUACGCAGACCGUACCGUAAACCGACACAGGUGGGUAGGAUGAGAAUUCUCAGGCGCUUGAGAGAACUCGGGUGAAGGAACUAGGCAACAUGGCACCGUAACUUCGGGAGAAGGUGCACCCUUUUUGGUGGCUCGUGCGAGCUAUAGCUGAAGAGGGUCGCAGUAACCAGGCCGCUGCGACUGUUUAUCAAAAACACAGCACUCUGCAAACACGAAAGUGGACGUAUAGGGUGUGACGCCUGCCCGGUGCUGGAAGGUUAAUUGAUGGGGUCAGCCGCAAGGCGAAGCUCUUGAUCGAAGCCCCAGUAAACGGCGGCCGUAACUAUAACGGUCCUAAGGUAGCGAAAUUCCUUGUCGGGUAAGUUCCGACCUGCACGAAUGGCGUAACGACAGCGGCGCUGUCUCCACCCGAGACUCAGUGAAAUUGAAAUCGCUGUGAAGAUGCAGCGUUCCCGUGGCAAGACGGAAAGACCCCGUGAACCUUUACUAUAGCUUUACACUGAACGUUGAGUUCGUCUGUGUAGGAUAGGUGGGAGGCUAUGAAACUGUGGCGCUAGCUGCAGCGGAGCCAUCCUUGAAAUACCACCCUGUCGUGCUUGACGUUCUAACCUGGGCCCAUUAUCUGGGUCGGGGACCGUGUAUGGUGGGUAGUUUGACUGGGGCGGUCUCCUCCUAAAGAGUAACGGAGGAGCUCGAAGGUACGCUCAGCGCGGUCGGACAUCGCGCACUGUGUGCAAAGGCAUAAGCGUGCUUGACUGCAAGAUCGACGGAUCAAGCAGGUAGGAAACUAGGACUUAGUGAUCCGGUGGUUCUGUAUGGAAGGGCCAUCGCUCAACGGAUAAAAGGUACUCCGGGGAUAACAGGCUGAUACCGCCCAAGAGUUCAUAUCGACGGCGGUGUUUGGCACCUCGAUGUCGGCUCAUCACAUCCUGGGGCUGUAGUCGGUCCCAAGGGUAUGGCUGUUCGCCAUUUAAAGUGGUACGCGAGCUGGGUUCAGAACGUCGUGAGACAGUUCGGUCCCUAUCUGCCAUGGGCGUUGGAGAUUUGAGAGGGGCUGCUCCUAGUACGAGAGGACCGGAGUGGACGAACCUCUGGUGUUCCGGUUGUCACGCCAGUGGCAUUGCCGGGUAGCUAUGUUCGGAAGCGAUAACCGCUGAAAGCAUCUAAGCGGGAAGCGCGCCUCAAGAUGAGAUCUCCCGGGGCACAAGCCCCCUGAAGGAACCAUGUAGACUACGUGGUUGAUAGGUCAGGUGUGUAAGUACAGCAAUGUAUUGAGCUAACUGAUACUAAUGAUCCGUGCGGCUUGACC
rnacentral:rRNA from 1 species